GGCUCGUUGGUCUAGGGGUAUGAUUCCUGCUUCGGGUGCAGGAGGUCCCGGGUUCAAAUCCCGGACGAGCACU
rnacentral:tRNA from 1 species